rnacentral:tRNA from 3 species
GGGCGAUAGGCCGCAAGGUGUGGCAGGGGACUGUAACUCCCUCGAGGCGACUCACGCCUGGUUCGAUUCCAGGAUCGCCCACCA